UACGAGGGGGGCUAGCGUUGCUCGGAAUCACUGGGCGUAAAGCGCACGUAGGCGGGUCCUUAAGUCAGGGGUGAAAUCCCGGAGCUCAACUCCGGAACUGCCUUUGAUACUGGGGAUCUUGAGUCCGGAAGAGGUGAGUGGAACUCCGAGUGUAGAGGUGAAAUUCGUAGAUAUUCGGAAGAACACCAGUGGCGAAGGCGGCUCACUGGUCCGGUACUGACGCUGAGGUGCGAAAGCGUGGGGAGCAAACAGG
rnacentral:rRNA from 1 species